GAAUGGUGCUAGCUAGGGUGUGAGCCAAGCCCUUGAGGCUACUGUGAGUUAUGAGAUGUGUCCAACCCUCAGCCCACAGACUGCAUAUGCCCCAGGACAGCUGUGAAGGUGACCCAAUACAAAAUCGUAAACUAACUUAAAACCAUUAAGGGUUUUUGUUUUGUUGUUGUUUGCUGGCUUUUUGUUUUUUGGGUUGGUUUUCUUUUUCUUUCUUUCUUUUUUUUUUUUUUUUCCAACUCAAGUGUGAACUUUGUUGAUGACCGUGUUGUUGUCUCCGUGUCAAAGGUGUGAGAUGCACAGCUAGUUAGACUUCAAGGCUGAUUUGGUCUGCCAGCGAUGCCAGCACAUAAGGUUGGCUUAAACAACAGUUGCUCCUUACUCCCAGAUCUGGGGUGAUCUCUUGAGGUGCCUUCCUGUAGUCUCUUGUGUCAUCUUCUUCUAAGACCACUAAUAACACCGCCUUUCUCCUUGAUCCGGGCCUCAGACCUCUUCAGAGAUUCUUUCUCUGAAUGUACGUGGGGGACUCCAACAGAUGUUGGGAGAAGACUCAAUAUGAGCAUACGGGGUCAUUGUUCAAUCCUGUAUCAAGACCUUGGAGUUGUCUAAGGCUGUGGGUUUUAAAUACCUGCUGCAGGCCUCCCAUCUCUGGCUCUUUGUUUCCACUCUGGCCCAAGUUUGAGUCUCCAUAUGGGCCCUUCCUGUCCUCAUGCCCUGCCUGUCUUCAUUCCACCCAUCCACCCUCCUAAGGAUUGGUCUUGUUCCGAGAGUGAUCCUGGUAACGCCAAGCCUCCCUCUGCCCCUGUGUUGGCUUCUGUGACGGACUACCACACACCAAGAGGUUUUUCACAGUGAAGAUGUAUGCUCUCACCAUCCUACAGAUGCAAAGACCAAACACAAAGUGUCUGCAUGACCUUCCCCCUCUGGAAUUUGUCUAGAAUUAUUUUCUUCUUGCUUUUUGACAUGUCGUGAUAUGUGAUAAACUCAUAUUCCCUGGCUUUUUUGGAAACCUCUCUCCAAUCUUUACCUUUGCCUCUACUAGAUGAUCUUGCAUCUGUCUUUGUGGGACUCUUUUUAUGAGGAACCAGUCCUGUUGAAUCGGGGUGCUCUGUAUUAGUUAUUUUUGUAACUUGUGAUUGUAACCAAAUGCCCGAUAGAAACAGCAUUCUGGCUCACAGUUUCAAAGGGCUCAGUCCAUAGCUGCCUGACUCUGUGUUUCUAGGCCUUUCUUGAGGCAAGUGUUCAUCAUGAUAGUGUGAGGGUGAGGAGGAGUUUCUUCAUGGCAAACAGGAAGCAAAGAGCAAUACAGGAAAAGGUCAGGGGUGAGAUGUGUCAUUGCCACUUCCUCCAGCUAGGACCUUUGAGCAUCACAUUGUGAAGCCAUCCAGGGACUUGGGGGUUAGGUCAGAGGUAUCAAUACAUCUCCGGAAACAUCGUCACAGAUACCUAGAGGUACUUCAUUGAUCCCUUGAAAAGCAUGUCUUAAUUCUGUUAAGAUGUCAAUCAAGAUUACACAUCUCACUGCUUCACAGGCCAUCAGGGCCCCAUUCUGAGGUCCUGGGACACUACCCAAACCCUAGCACUCUCCCAGUGACUCUCCUAUGAGUACAUAUGCCAUCCUGCUUCCUUUGUGGCAAAACCCUGGGUCACCCAGAGACAGAUUUCCCAGAAUCCCUGGGCCACUUCUCAAUUCUACCCAUGACAGACAUGUCCCAUCCAUGAGCCCAGAUAGUCAAAGACUUCAGCACAAGGGUGUUUAGAGUAGGCAGUGUGGAAGUAUCAAUAAGGUUAUUGAGAUGAGGAUUUAGAAAGAUCCAUGUAUAAAAGGUCUAGAAGGAUGAAGAUCUAAAACAAGAAGACUGCAUGUUAACGCUCCUGCCACUGUUGCCCCUUCCUUUACCCUUGGCAGACAUUGCUAAUCAAUCUCAGCACAGUUUCCAACCACAGUCAUAGAACAUUUGCCACAAAGGCCCUGGAUGUGACUAUAUGUGCUGAGAAGGGAAGGUAGUUUUCCCCCAGAAAGUCCCUUCUAAUAAACAUUGAUGACUUUAGAAUCCAUGACUCAGAAUUUUCCAGAGACCCAAUCCCUCGGGGUCCACUUAGUGAUGGGACCAUACAAGAGUUUAUUUCCAAUUAGAGAAUUGGGUCAACUGGGAAAGGCUUCUUUCCUGGUAACCCUGCUACUGAUACUAUGUUGAAACAGGAAUCGACUCUAACUGCUUUUUGGCCUCUUCCCUGCACGGGAGUCUCAAAAUCAAGUUUUUACCCAGUGGCCUCUGGGAUCCACUCUCUCUACUCCUGAACUCUUAAAACGCCCCUGAUAACUAGGUUAGUGACCAAGAAGACCUUACAUGGCCCAUCUCUUCAUCUCCUGUCCCAUUGCAUCUCUUGCCCAUGUGCUGAGAAAGACUAAAAGUGCUAUCAUGCACUUAUAUUAAAUGUGCAGAUCAGCACUCCUCUCCCUGGAGCUGGCAGCCAUGGUUGAUGGCUAUGGGAUACAAUGUGGAUCUUUAGAUGUGAAAGUCUGAUGACUCAAAUCAAAGUUUGGUUUUUCUUUUCUACUACUCUGAAGGAAAAUCUCAGCUUGGCUAUUUCUUCAUGUUUUAAAAAUGUCUUGACUUCUCUCAGCAACCAACUUCAGGUGCCAGGAUAUGAGAUGCUAAGGUUCAGGGGUGGUGGAGGUGAUUCUAUCCAGUGGCCAGCAAUACCCAAAAGCAGCCAACCAUGAAAAUAGAGGUUUGUAAUGUACAGAAGGCUGGGGGAGCUUUCAGGGGUGUGGCCAGUUAUGUACAGAUGUGAAGCUGAGGUCUGAAGGAAAUGGAGGAAGUAGGAAGAUCAGACUGGUUGAAUUAGAAGUCUGUCACUCUAGGUGCUAAGUGACCUUGGACCCAGUCAGUUCUUGGAUUUCUGUUGUAGCCCAGGCUAGCCUCGAACCCUUGAUCCUCCUGUUCCUGGUAGAGAAACAGCCACUAAAUGGUGGGAUAGAAUGUGACUGCUCUAUCCCCGAUCUGGCUGAAGCUGAUGAAAAGUUCCCUUUGUCACACCCCUAAUCAGAUCUAGGGGACCCAAUGGCCCAGAAUUAUAGAGGACAGAGGAGAAGGUGGGCAUUGCAAGAUGCUGGAGCUUGGAAAGCAUGGUGGAAUUUGAUACACAUGAUCACCAAGCACCACCCGGGGAAGAAACUGGGUCACUGAGUCACUGGGUCACUCUGUUCCCUGAAGGCCCACCAACCACAUCCGCAUCCUACCUAGGGUGGAACUUUGACUGUCCUCGGGUGUCUCUGCUGUAUAUAGGCCAGUCACAAGCCCUUCUAAAAGCCUGCUCUUGUCUGCUUUUGUUUCUCCACCAUGCCCCCUGCCACCUCUUCUGACAGUGCUCAGAUUUAUCAGCCACCUGACCCACAGACCCAUAUGGACACACUAGAAAGCCCAUCCUAGGUCUUUCCAUGGUCUCUCACACCCCUGUCCCCGUCCCCUCCACCCCCCGGCAGCAUGCUUCACUCUAUGAAUGAGCCGCUGGGAUAUUGACAUGGAGAUGUGUUGAUGGAAAAAGCCUCCACACCCAACAUAACUCUCCAGAGAGAUAUUGAAAGUGAUGGGCAGAGAGUCUGACAAUGACCCAGGGGUCAUUGUGAGUCCUAGGCUGAAUCUGUAAUGGGGUCCAAAGUGCAGGAGAGACUGCAUUCACCUUGUUGGUGGGGUGGGGCUUCUUUCAUUACUUUAAGUAUCUGUAUGGGCUUGAGGCAUGGGAAACAGCACCUUGUCUAACUAUAGAACCCCCAGGUGUGGGGGUGGGGUGGGGGUGGGGGUGGUAAAUGGAUGAGGCUCACAGCUCACCUUCAGCUUGAUUCAACUCACAAUUCUCCUGCCCCUUCCUCUGGCUGACUGUGACCUCACCAACAAGUUAUUCUCGCUCUUCUGGGGCAUACUUUGGACUUUCUUCGUGUUAUGAAGCCCUUAGCAUUUGCCGUGUUGCUGGGUCCCAGGGGAUUGGCUGUAGUUAAUUAAAAGCACCUGUCUCUGUCAUCUCUGCACCCAACUGAAUCUCCCACCCUCAAGUGUACCUCUCAGGAUAUCCCCAGGCACACGAAGAUGGAAUGGAAAGCCAGUGGGUAUCUCCCACCCACUUAGAUGCUGAUGGCCUGGGACUAUAAACAGGGACAGUUGGGUCUCCUAAGGAAUAGCUUCCAGGUCCAGGAUGCUGGCAUCUCCCAGAGAGAACUCCAUCCCCUGACCACCAAGGCCUUUGUAGAAGCAGGAAUCUCUUCCUCCUGUCCCACAGCCCCCAGGUCAGAGCCAAGCGCAUCAUCUGCAGCACACAUGUCUGUCUCCACAGGCAAGCAACCUUGCCAAGGCAGGCCAGACAGGACAGCCCAGCUUCCCACUCCAGACAUGUUGUUCUUACAUCUCUGACCCAGUGAUCUUUCUAGGGGUCUGUCACAUGUCCCAACAGGUGGACAGCUCUCCAAGUCACCAACCUGAGGAAAAUAUCCCUCCUUGUAAAAAGGCUUUCUCUUUGUAAAUGAUUCUGUUGCCUUUUUCUAAACACAAAGUAUAUAUACCUAUAAAUGCUAUAUAUAUUAUAUAUGUGUAUAUACAUAAAGACUACUUCUUGUACAGCCCUCC
rnacentral:lncRNA from 1 species